CCCAGAAUUCAUGUAGCGCACGUGGCUUCGCUUCAAGUGCGAUGACCUCGUUCAAUUCUUCAUUGACGUCGCUAUUUCAUUCCAAUCCGAGGAUGCUCUUCGUGUAUGAGAUUAAUAUAUGUUUUUGUUCUCUUCAAAUUUUCUAUUGUUUCCUUACUAUUAUUUCCGUAUGCCUUCCAUGUGUUCCAUCUUCGGGUUCUCACGGCUAAAUUGUAAUCAUGAUGAAGCUGUUCUGGAGACAAUAACGGAGUUUAUCAAAGUGGGUGGUAGGGGAAAGUUUCAUUCUGCCUUAUAUCACAAGCUUCUUCAUUCCAUUGUCCACUUUACGUUGACCAUUGACGAUUCUUUAUUGGAUUUGCUUGCAUUAAAGUAUUUCAAUUACAUUUAUGUCCGGUAUGAAUCAUUUAUUCUUAAGCGUGUGUUAACUAAGUUUGUUUACACUGUACUGUCAAUAUGUUUCCUAUAGAUUCUAUUUAUAAUGUGAAUGAAUCACUUCACACUUCUUUUUGGAUUUGCGUUGCUAAGAUAUUACCAAAACAGAUUGCUAGACUGGGAUGAGCUACAUACUGUUCCAAGAAAUGUUACCUUUUAUUGUUUCCCUUCCAAUAGAAAUAUUUGUUCCACGGUGGGACAAAUAUUCUUUGAACUACUGUAGUCUCUAAGAAACAAUACGUUGGUUCAACUUAUUUGUUCAGUAUUUUACUUACAUUAUCCUGGACCUGGACAAGCUGGUCCGAAUUUUGGAGGCAAAAGGUAUCUCUCCUAGUCCUACUUCUUGAUCUUGGUGGUGAUCUUUUUACCUAAGAAAAUACACAAAGACCUCCUCUCCUUUAUUGGAAGUACAUAUAGUUAUAUAUCUUUUCGACCUAAAAAUUUAUUUUCCCCAGAGAAGGCGAGAGAAAUUCAGACAUCUAUGGUGAUAGCCAGUCGAGAACAAGAGUGCUGCUACUUCUAGAUUGAAGCAAUGAAGUUCAUUGUGAAUUUACUUCACGGAUAGGGAUGGCAACAGGCAGGGGCAGACCCGAAUACUUUAGGUUAGGGGGUCAUAAUCAAACUUUCAAAUGGUAGGUAAAUUGUAAAUGGUAAUGGCAGUAUGUAAUUGACAGAUUGGAAGAGAAAGACAAAGGCACAAAGUUGAGAUUGGAGCUGUUAGCUGCAUAAUAUAUUUAUAGUGUAAGUUUUAAACUUUGACAUUCUAAAACAAAAAAAAAAGUCAGAAAAAAAGCAGAAACUGGGGGGUCAACUAUAGGACCCCCCAGGUCGACCCCUGUCAACAGGGUGGUUUGGCGUGCCCCCUGCACUACCCUGCUGGGGAUUUUACUAUCUCAUUUGUAUUUUUUUCCCUAUAAAUUAAAUUAGGUAUUUGAAUAUUAAAGCUAUGUUUGA